CAGAGAGAGAGAGCUCAGAGAAAACUCAGCAGAGACUGUUUUGGGGGUAAGACUAAAUUACUUUCCCAAAACCCUGAGACCUCCUAGAGAGGAGGGGUGGACUUCCAAACUCUUAGGGAGUCCCAAAAUGCAGCAGCAGCUAGAGAGAGAGAGAGAAGAGCUGAGAGCUCGGAGAUGUCCUGAGAGCUGGACCAGGACA